AAUCACUUUAUAAGUAUCUUGAAAAUACUAAAUAAGAAAUUAAUUUCUAGUGAUUU
rnacentral:tRNA from 1 species